AUUCAUCUGACGAGUCUCAAAUAGGACAAAACACGAUUCCUAGAU
rfam:Schistosoma haematobium scaffold90_17, whole genome shotgun sequence.